CCCAGACUCCUACGGGAGGCAGCAGUGGGGAAUAUUGCACAAUGGGGGAAACCCUGAUGCAGCGACGCCGCGUGAGGGAAGAAGUAAUUCGUUAUGUAAAGCUCUAUCAGCAGGGAAGAAAAUGACGGUACCUGAGUAAGAAGCCCCGGCUAACUACGUGCCAGCAGCCGCGGGAAUACGUAGGGGGCAAGCGUUAUCCGGAUUUACUGGGUGUAAAGGGAGCGUAGACGGCAGUGCAAGUCUGGAGUGAAGGGCGGGGCUCAACCCCCGGACUGCUCUGGAAACUGUACGGCUGGAGUGCAGGAGAGGUAAGUGGAAUUCCUAGUGUAGCGGUGAAAUGCGUAGAUAUUAGGAGGAACACCAGUGGCGAAGGCGGCUUACUGGACUGUAACUGACGUUGAGGCUCGAAAGCGUGGGGAGCAAACAGGAUUAGAUCCCCUCGUA
rnacentral:rRNA from 1 species